rnacentral:lncRNA from 1 species
CCGGAUUCAAAUUCUUUCAUUGGAAAAUAUUACAGGAGGUAUUCUCUACUGCUAAUGAAGAUUUUACCCAAUUGAAUUGCACCCAUGGACUCAACAGAUCUCACUAAUCCUGAAACUUCAUGCAAUUAAACUCAGAAAUGUUUUCAAUAGUUUCUCACCCUCACAAGUACACUACUAUCAUCAGCUCUACACCUGCACUGUUAUUUUUCUCUUUCACUAAUCUAGCUCUCCUCUCUCUUAAUCUCCUUUCCAAUUGUUUUCCGAAUUUUCACUGCCACUCAUGAUUUGAAAAGUUAACCGCACUCUGUUGACAAGCAUAACUUGAGGAAAGAGCUGAAAAGGGGAAAGGCCCAGGUGUCGUUAUGGGCUUGAUAAUGGAAAGUGGUUUCAAGGAUAUGAUGUAAUGGGUUAUUGGGCGAUGAAGGUUGAAGAAGAAGAGAUUAGCUUAUAGUACAAGAACUCCUACAAAAAUAAGUUCUUUGUAUGAUUUAGGGAAAUCUUUCCAUGUUUAAGUCGGUAAAAAUGUUGGAGAAAUGCUGCCUUAAAAGAUGUGUGCUGUUCAUUAGAUAUAAUAUAUGAAGAUGAUAAAUAUAGAAGACAUGGUGUGGUUGGAUUCCUGGUUACAAUAACCUAGACUCAACUUGGGUGAUAUGAGUUCAAGAUUGCUUAAUUCGGAUCCAUGAUAUAUUUUUGUCGUGUGGGGUUCAUGGUUGGGGAGACUUCAACCUAAGCAAUAACAAUUUAGAGCUAGUAAUUAGUGAAAUAUUUAUAAGCAAAUUUGUUUAUUUUUUUCUUAGUAAUUGUGAUUUUUUUAUCAGCUCUGUAUUUAAAUUAAAUUUUAAAUAAACUAUCUACAUAUAAAUUGAUAUAUUCAUAAGAAUUUGUUCGUGUUAAGUUGUAGUUUUAACUUAAAAUCAUAAUCAAAACUUUUUUUUAUCCCAUUUUUGUUGUCUCGAUCUUAUUAAUGUUCAGAAUCUAUUAAUUAAUUUGUUAAUCAUUAUAAAGGCUAUUAGACUAGCAAACAACAAUAUCAAAACCCAUCUCUACGUUCAACACGAAGUGUGGUAGAUAGAUUAAGUCACCUUUAAGUUGUUCGUAUCCCUUAUUUGGCAUUGCGGCCCAGACAAGGUCGGCUAAAAUUUAUUUUUUUAAUUAUUUUAAUAUAAUGAUAUAAAAAAUAAAAAAUAAAAUUAAAAAAUUAAAAAAUAUUAUUUUGAUGUAUUUCUAAGUAAAAAAACACUUGAAAAACAAUUGUCACAACACUUUAAGCACUUAUUAGAGGCAGAUUAACAGUCCGUGCGACCUACGAGUUGAAUCUAAUUUUUUUUAUAUAAAAAAUAUUAAAUUGAUGCAAUUAUUUCUAAAAAAGCAAAAAAAAAAUAUAAGAUUUGUGUCAUUGACUCGAUUGAAUUUUAUAAACUUAGUAAAAAAGGGUAAAUAAAAUGAAACAAAUUGACAAUGAAAAACAAGUCAAAAAACUCGACUCGAGCUCAUCCGGGUUAGCAUGUUAAAUAUGUGACUUGGUUGUGUCACUAAGGUAUAACUUCAUCAAAAGUAAAUUGAAUAAAAUCAUGAAGUCAAACUAGUUUAACCCACUAAUCCCUUGAUCAUGGACAUAAGAUUGAGAUAAUUUCAUAAAAAUAAAAGCGAAAAAAAAACACAAAGACUAAUUUUCAAUCAAUCAAAUAUUGAAAGAUAAAAUUAAAAAAAAUUAUUUUUUAAAAAAUAAAUGUUGAAAGAUCUUCUCUGAUAAUGAAUAAAAAACUAAUUGAGAACACGAUAACCCCGUAGAAAGUACAAUGAAAAAAAAUUCAAAACUCAAUUUCUAAAUAAAAUAUUGAAUGAAGAAAUUAAAGAAAAAAUAUAACCCAAAACAGAUAAAAAAAAACCCUGACCUGAAUUCACCUGGGUUAGCAUGUAAAAUUUGUGAUCUAGUUGUGUUAUUGAGGUAACCUUGUCGAAAGCAAAUCGAAUAAAAUAAUAAAACUUAAUUAUCAAACAAUCUAAUUAAUGUUGAAGAGUGAGAUAACACUGAUUAUUCUCAAAAUCUAUGAGAAAGCCAAUAGAAAAUAAAAAAAAAUAACAAAGUCUAAUUUUCAAUUAAAUAAAUGAUGAAGGAUGAAACUGAAAAAAAAAGCUUAAAAAAAAAUCCAAGCAAACCCUAAAAAAUAUUUUAAACCUAAGUUAAUCUCUUAAAAUUACAACUUAUGAAAUCCUAGAUUUAAGCUUAAUCAAUAAGCUUAAUUCUUAAUUAAUUUAAUGUUGAAAGAUGAAACUGGAAAACAUAUCAAUUUAAAAAUUUUAACAAAAUAGAAACAAUAGUAAUUAAAAAAACAAUUAUCAAAUUUGAUAAGAAAACAAAAGCAUAAAAUGAGAGGAAAAAUUCUAACAAUGAGGUGAUAAAGAGUAUGUAAUUUUUAAAAAAAACACAACAGGAACUUUUCUUUCAACCCUUAUUUUAUAGUGAGUUUUAAAAGUUAAAACGUUAAAGAAUUUAUUAUGAUCAUAAUAAAAAUUAUUUAUUAGUAUUAUCAAUUUUUAAUUUAUCAUUAUAAAUCAAUCACAAUUUUUUUUGUUGAAAAAAUUGUUCAGAUUUUUGAAGGGUUAAUCAAACCGUGGAAAAAAGAACCAAUCUUCAAGUAAUCUUAAUAUAAAUUCUAAAAAGUCCUAAAUUGUUUAAAGAAAUCUUGAGACUCAUACAAAAUUUUAAAAUUAUUAUUUUCACUACAUUUAUGUGUUUUAAAAAACCUAACAAUUAUAAGAAAAAAAAUUUUGAAAGGCAUCAAUAAAACCAAGUGAUCCAAUAGAUAUUACACUGUUCAUUUGAACGACAUUUUUGCUCUUCUAUAAAAACUAACAAAGCUUUCAAUGGGAGGUAAAAUCAUCUUUUUCAGGAGAUCUAUUAGGCGUUACAAAAUUAAUUGGGAAUAAAUUAGUCAACAUACCUUUUUUGGCACAAUAAAAUGAGUUUGUUACGUUUAAAAUAAAAAAAUAAAUUUGUCUAAGGGUAUCAUUAUCUUUUUAAUAUUAUUUUUACAGUAAAAUUAUAUCGACACCCUUAAAAAACAUUAUCACCAGGGCCUUGAAAAAAAAAACUAGCACCAGGCUUUUUAUACUUUUCCUUUAUUGAGGCAAAAUACAAAAAAAAAAAAACUAAUUAAAAUAAUAAAUUGCAUCCUAAUCCGAUUGGAAAAAAAGGAUAGACCGGCUACUGAAAUAUAUCUCUAUUGGUUUUAAGAAUAUAAGACGGACAUUAACUACUUCAAGAAACCAAAGCAAUCGAAGUAUUUUUCCGAGUCGCAAACGGAAGACAAGAUCCCUAUAUAUUCACUCAACCAGCCUUACAAUUCUCUAUCCAAAAACAAUUCCUUCCCCGUGCUCCGUAGUCUCUAGUCAUCACCGAUCUUUCUUCUUUCAACCCCUUUUGUUGCAUAAACAUGGCCCGUUCUGUGAUUUUUCUGGUCGCCAUCUUUCUUUCUUUCUGCAUAUUGUCAUGCAUAGCACAACAACAACCAUGCACGACCUAUAAAUUUUCAAACAACAAACAGUUCUCUUCUUACAGCGACUUGCCUGUUUUGAGCUCCUCUCUUUACUGGAACUACCAUCCAUUAUCCAGCAGAGUUGAGGUUGCCUUCAGGCAUACUGGCGUGACCGGUCGCAGAUGGAUUGCUUGGGCUAUCAAUCCAACUUCAGGAGGGAUGAUUGGUUCCCAAGCAAUCGUUUCUUUUCAGAGAACGGAUGGAAGUCUUGCGGUCUAUACUUCGCCUAUAACAAGUUAUGGAACGCGAUUGGAACAAGGAAAUCUUAGCUUUCCUGUCUUGGAAUUGUCCGCUACUAAUCAGAACAAUGAGAUGAUAAUCUAUGCAAGCUUAGAGCUCCAUGGAAACAUCAGCACAGUCAAUCAUCUCUGGCAAGUAGGCCCAAUGUCUGAAAACACUCUAAUGAUGCAUAGUGUUGCUCCAUCCAGUCCCAACGUCAAAUCCAUGGGGAGUUUGGACUUCCUUUCAGGAAGGAUUAAAGCGACAAGAAGUUCUUCAACAACACUGAAAAAUGUCCAUGGAAUAUUGAACACAGUAAGCUGGGGUAUUCUAAUGCCUGUUGGGGGCGUCAUUGCAAGAUACUUGAAAAGGUUCGAAUCUGCAGGCCCUUUAUGGUUCUACUUGCAUGUCAGCUGUCAACUGCUGGCCUAUAUUCUUGGUGGUCUGUCUGGAUUUGGGACUGGAAUAUUUCUUGGCAUAAGGUCUCAUGGUAUGGAACAUAGCUGUCACAAAAUCAUCGGCAUUGUCCUCUUCUGUCUUGCAACAGCGCAGGUGUUUGGUGGUCUGGUCAGACCUGACAAAGAUAGCAAGUAUCGUCCCUUCUUCAACUGGUUCCACUUCCUUGCGGGUUGCUCAACACUUAUCCUAAGCAUAUUUAACAUAUACAAAGGAUUUGACAUAUUGCACGCCGCAAGAUUUUGGAGGCUUACCUACAGUGGUACAAUACUAACUUUGCUACUGGUCACGCUACUAUUGGAAAUAUGCACAAGAUGGUGCCUGCCGAUAACUAAGCAUUCGAUGUCAAAUACCGUGGACAAAAACACAUCCACUGUCGCUGCAGUAGCUGCAAUGGAGGUUUAGAUUUGGGAUGCGUAAUGCUGCAUUGGAACAUGCGAAAAAGAGGAACUUAUUGCAGGUGGUCAAGGAGCGCUACUAGUGGAGGAGGUUUUGAUGGAAAAUAUUUGAUCUAUACUGUUUUUAAUUAACCAGAAAGUAGUUUUUAUUUUUAAUUUUCUUGUUUAACAACUACCUUUUAUAUUGAAUAAUUAUUAAUUGAAUCCCUUUAUACUGAUUCUAUUAAGCUUGGGAUCACUAUUUGUUUUUCCUACUCUGCUAUCCCAUGCUGUACUGAUCUUUUAUGUUGGACAUCCUCAUCAAAGUUAUCUUUAUAAUGCUCGUGUGGUGGUGCCCUUUAAUAUUUUUUUUCGUAGAAUACAUUUCCACUUGAGGAAUGUGAUUAAUACAGGGUUAGAGAAGGUAGAGAAUUUAGCUUAUUGGUAUUGUUUAGCAGAUUAAGUAAUGAAAUGAAGAGUGAGGGUGUUGGACUAGGAAAGCAAGAGGAUGUAUUUGAUGGAUUCCUUUUGACUUUUCUUGGUAUUAAACCCGUUCUUUUGUGGUAUUAGAGCCAGGAUAGCUGCAUUGCAGAAUCUGACAACGCAGUUGUGAGGAAAAUUGGCACCAGGAUAUUGUUGAGGGAGGAAUGCAGUGGUUAUGGGGCUGGGAUGAAGGGGAUGAUAAUGGGUCAUACAAUUCCGGAAGCUGGGAACAAUGGGGUUUAUAAUAAUGGAACAUUUGAGAUUGAUGUGGAAUGUCAAAAGAUGUAUAAUGAGUUGCCUGACGUUUUGGAGAUCAACAGGAAUUCAGAGUUAUGAGAUAUGUCAUCAAAACCUUGGUAUCAGGAAAAAAAAAAAACAGAGCAAUUUCUUCUAUGGGUUCUUUUGUCUGAUCAGAUCUGAUGGAUUUUGGGGUUUUAAUUCUUUUGUAGUUUUGAUGGAGGUUUAUGUAGGGCUUGAAAGAUUUCAAAAGAAAAGAAGUUCAUAUCUUGAUGUUCAGAUUGCUUCCAAACAGAAAGUUGCUCGGAGUUUGUGUCUUGUUCCUGCAAUUUUUCAAGCGAAAAUGCAACUGGUUGCUGCCAAGAACAAGAAGAGCAAGGAAGAAAAUUGUUGCAACUAGUGGCUACAUGUUGUCUCUUCUUAAUAACGCGGUCCGAUGGCCAUGACAUUAUAAAUACGAUGCUCUAACCUCUGAGCUAAGCGGGCUCACAUAACAGAAAGUGCACAUGCAUAGGAUUUAGUUUGGCUGAGGAUCUGUUAUAUAUUGAAGUUGGGAAGUUCCUUUCCAAAUAUCCCCCUCCAGUACUUGCUGUGUCGUUUAAGUAGCUGUGUUUGGCAGGCACCAUGGAAUUGGUAUCAAAUCAACCAUUUGUCAUGUCUGGCAUGAGUUUGCGGCUCGCACCAUCUCCAUGGUCUCAAGAGACCAGUCAAAAUGUGUUAGCUUUAUUGUUAUUGGAUUAGUCUACACUCUAACGCUGAAUUCAUCAAGCAAUGUCUCAUGGGGCAUCCAAUUUGAAAGGAAAGGGGAUUAGUUACAGAGCUUUUGGCAUUUCCCACUGUGCAUAGCCUACCUACGGCUCAACUGACACUGGAGAGGAGCGAGAGCAGUAGAGUUCUACAAGUGAAACUUCGUGGCAUUAUGGAACAGCUGAAACAAGUAAGCGGAAAAGAACAUAUUUGAGUUUGAAUGUAGGAACAUUCUUAUUGAAGAUUAAGACUUUAUAGUUACUCUGCUUUCAUUUAACUAUGCAAAAUGAGAACCAAGAUAAAAGUAGAAACAUCAGCAAAUCAUGUAAAUGGACUUGCAGUUCUAUACAGCAGUAUCAUAUACAAUUUAUUCAAUAGACAUGGACUCCAGGAAAAAAUGUGUACAAAUUUGUUUCCUGUCAAAUGAAGGGAAGGUAGAAUAGGCUAGAGUUAAACCUGCUACCCACUCCCAAUUGGUAUAGGACCGCCUUCGCUGAUAUAACCAAUUUGUCAUAAAUUAUUUUUAAGGGAAAAUAUACAAUAUUUUACAACAAAAGACUGCAAAAUUGAAGAGUUAAGCAAAAAAAGCAAUCACCAUUCUGACGACCUUAUUUGUAUCAUGUGCUCAAAUAUUUUCCACGAAAAUGACCGCUGACAUGCGAAUUCAGAUUAUUGUUACUCUCCCAUGUUUUCAUUAUCAUGCCGAUCAAGUACAGUAAAAGUGCAAAAUCAAAAGUAGAAACAGCACAUUCACAAAUUAACCAUUCUCUUGUUUCUGAUCAUAUUAUUACACCAAGGAUCAUAUGGUCAACCCUUAGAUGGGAUGGCUGCCUCAGACUCUAAUGCCUAUCAAGUACAGUAAAAGUGCAAAAUCAAAAGUAGAAACAGCACAUUCACAAAUUAACCAAUCUCUUGCUUCUGAUCACAUUAUUACACCAAGCAUCAUAUGGUCAAGCCUUAGAUGGGAUGGUUGCCUCAGACUCUUCCUUGCUUUUCUGCUGUUCAAACUUAUCAAUAGCAGUCUGAAGUUCGUCUGUCCCUCCAACAGCUCUCAUGGUGUAGAAAUAAACCCCAAAAACAAAUGCUGACAAGCCUCCAGCAACUACCAGAUUCUUGGUCUUAGGUGCAAGGCUACUGAAUCCAGCCAUCUUGUAACCGAAACUUGUAGCAGAAAAUGUGUUAUACUGCCAAAGUUGCAGAAGUAGGAAAGGAAAUAUAUGAAUUAAUCUGUUUUUCUAGGCAUCUUGUGGCAAACAAAACAUGCUUCCAUGGAAGGGAAUUAUAGCACCGGAUUCAAAUUCUUUCAUUGGAAAAUAUGGAAAAUAUUACAGGAGGUAUUCUCAACUGCUAAUGAAGAUAUUACCCAAUUGAAUUGCACAUUGAAUUGCACCCAUGGACUAAACAAAUCUCACUAAUCCUAAAACUUCAUUGAAUUAAACUCAGAAAUGUUUUCGAUAGUUUCUCUCCCUCACAAGUACACUGCUAUCAUCAGCUCUACACCUGCACUGUUAUUUUUCUGUUUCACUAAUCUAGCUCUCCUCUCUCUUAAUCUCCUUCAUCAACCAUCAGUGCAUUGAAGAAAAAGAAAGGACCUUGAAAUUCAACAUGAAACGUAUUUUUUUCUUCAAAAAUGCACCUGCUAGCAACAUGUAAAAAUACCUUGAAAGUUGACACUGAAAAAAAAAGGCCCUACUGAUCAGUCUAGCUUCUGGAAUAAACAAGAAAGACAAAGGCCCUACUUGGUAAAGAAAUAGUUUGUUCUUUCAACACUUAUCAUUGCUCACACACACAUAUAUGUCCUUUCCAAUUGUUUUCGGAAUUUUCAAUGCACAUAUGAUUUGAUUUCUCAAAAUUUAAAGUUUUCAUUCAACUAUAUGAAUCACCAUUUGACAACCAGAACCCCAAUUCAACUUCUUUCCUUGGCAGAAAUGCAACAUAAACACUCAUUCCUCUUCACAACAAUAGUAAAGUAAUAACUCAUCGGCCUACUAUUAACGAUAAAAAACCCGAUCACACCAUGUAAAAAUCAGGGAAUCCAAAAUUCAAUAAAACACUCAUCAAUCCAACACUAGAAUGACACUUAAUCCACAGUUUGGCACCUCAAACCAGAGAAAAAUGAAGAAACAAAAUCUGGGUUUUGAACAUCAUGUUGACUUUUAACUUCCCAGCAGCUGAAGAUGAAAUUUUACUAAUCCAGACAGCUAAAUCAAACUAAAGUAGAAAAAUAAGCAACCAAACAAAAUACCAUCAAGAAAAUGAAUUCGAACAUCAAUAAGUUACAGCCUUGCAAAUUAAAAA